AAAGUUAAUGUAUAAACACAUUUACAAAGCUUUAUGCAACUCCAAGAUAAAGUUAUUAUAUUAAACAUUAUAUUUAAAGAUGUAAGGUUUAUGGCAAGUUUAAGUCCCAUGAUUGAUGACAGAAACUGAAUCAGAGGCCUUAGAGAAAUAGAAUUUAAGACACACCUAUUCCUACCAAACCUUAUUUAAAUAAAGAAAACGGUACAGUAACAACCCAAGAAAUCAAUUUCCUUUCCAGGUUUCAUAAUUAAUCUUCAUUUGUAAAUCCUGUUUGUCCUCAGAUUUUCUCUUUACAGUUCCUAAAAACAUUCAAUUCACCAAAAAUGAAAAAUUAAUUUAGGAAGAAACUCUAACUUAAGAAAAAACUUGCAGCUCAAACAACAGGUGAAAGCACACAAAUAUAGAAACUGUUUUUGAAGAAGUUGGGGAUGUUAACCUUUUAGUUCAAGAUGGGGGGUUGUUCCAGAGUGAAGGAAGGUGAGAUGCCUCCCGUUCUCAUGAGCUAAUGAUUGUUUCCAAACUGGUUAGAAUUCAGUGCUAAUUGCAUUUUAAAACACCACCUCUGAAAUCCUUUUCUCUCUCAGGAUCUUGCAUCAAUGUUUCACAUUUUCAAUGCAACCUUUGCACUUCACCUUUCUCACUCAACAAAUUCUGAAUGUCAGAUCUACGGGAAGAACUCAGUUCAGAUCCUUCCUCUCCCCAGCAGGUUUUGAUCUGGUGAUGGUGAUGUCAAUUCCUAGGAAAGGCUGUCCUGCCCUGGUUCUGAGGGGAGAGAGACAAUUAAAAUCGGUACUUUGGUGACUCUACUCAGGCUUGUCCAUUCUAACAGGGAGUCAUUAAACAACUUUCCAGUGUCAUUCAAAGAACUUAUAACAGAAUCAAUUGAUUUUCAUCCUCUGCUUUAUUAGUUGUGAUUUAGGAAAUAGAAUGGCCCUGUUUACACAGCUGUAACAUGUCAGGGCCUGUAGUACAUUAUUGGCUUGAGGCCUCCGAGUUGCCGUCCAUUCUCAGCAGAAUCAAUCUGAACUUGAAAACAUUCCCUCUAGGAAACAUGCACAUAUCUACUAGCAUAAAGCACUUCUUGCACAACUGAAAACAGUAUUCACUUGAGGUAAGUUGCAAGUUCACCUUCCAAAAAUCAGCCCUGACUUGUCAUUGCUCUCAGCAUGUUCACGAUGGGAGCAGAGGGCUACAAAUGCCUCUUUAACUAGGUACCCAGCAUCGGCGAAUGUGCUACACUUUGCUGCUAGUCAGAUCUCAGACUCUGCAAGUGGGAGUAGCUGGCUGUUUAACAUGCGUUCAGAGCACUGCCAAUCUAAAAUGGCUGCUCAGUAAUACUUUAAUUGCAGUUUCAUGGAAACAAAUUGCUAUUUAACUGCAAUAAGCACUUCUGUGACUUGGCUGCACUAACAAUAGGUGAGUCUUAGUAACAAAGCUAUAAGUAACAUUAACUUGUAAAUGGCCUUUUUCCAAUGGCCUCUUGAAGGGGUCAUAGGUGGGACAGCACCCAGGAUAGAAUUCCCUGGUGAAGGGUGAAGGGGUCUUUGGGGUGAAGGGUGAUGGGGUUUUUGGAUCUCCUCAAUUUAAAUACAAUUAGUUAGGCUACAUGGGAACUCUUCACUAGACUCCAUAUGUAGCUCUUGGGUUCACUGUUUAUUAUAUGAUUUAUGGGCCCUAAGAAAUAUUUUAUAUAAAUAGUAGUGCACAUUAGAAUCUUACUAUAUUGACAUUUAAAGCCCUUUAAGAGCUUCCUUUUAGAUGAUUAGUUGUUUCAAAUAUCAGUGUUAAUAAGGGCAAAAGAAAGAAUUUAAAUACAGGUAAUAUUAAGAGGAUGACAAUUUCACAGACUUCAUUUUGGUGUGUCAGUUUUCUCGUUUUGUAUUUUAUAAGACACUACAGUCCGGGUUAAACUAUUUCCUAAUAAAUCAUGAAGAGCUGAAAAUAGUUUCUAGUGGCAAACGAUUUGGUUUGGAAAAGCUUCAGGGACAUAAGUGCUUAUGCC
rnacentral:lncRNA from 10 species